rnacentral:rRNA from 1 species
UACAGAGGGGGCAAGCGUUAUUCGGAAUUAUUGGGCGUAAAGGGCGCGUAGGCGGCUUGGCAAGUGGAUGGUGAAAUCCCUCGGCUUAACCGAGGAACUGCCGUCCAAACUGCUUCGCUUGAGACCGGGAGAGGUGAGUGGAAUUCCCAGUGUAGCGGUGAAAUGCGUAGAUAUUGGGAGGAACACCAGUGGCGAAGGCGGCUCACUGGACCGGUACUGACGCUGAUGUGCGAAAGCGUGGGGAGCAAACAGGG